UCACACCUGGUCACAGUCACAGAGACACACCAGCUAAAUAUCAUUGUAAAAAAUAUAUAUGACAUAUCCAGGUACGAAACAUUAAGUCUUCCUCGGUUGUGAGUUACACUUGACGUCUGUGCGGUUCAGUGUUUUUCUGGUGUGUUGAAUCCCAUGUUGAGCUGUUUGUUCCUGUUCUUUAUAAUUGUAUUAUUAUUAUAUUUCCUUUUUCUGUGAAUAAGACUCAUGCUGUUUGUGACAUCACUCCCUAUUUGAUCUGUAGUCCAAUUUAUUAGUUGAGUAUUAAAAUCUGAAAAGUGGGAAACCUCUGCAGAAUAGUAUGCUUAUUAAAACCCCACAAUGCAAUCAUUCAACUAUUAGUAGUGAAAUAUUAUGUAUAUCUAUUCAAGUAUUGUAUUAAAUUCAUUUCCCACAACAUUUUGGAUAUAAGAGACAAUAAAUCAUAAUGGAAUGACUUGUGAAAUAUUAUGCAUUGAAAUUAAUUAAACUACUCUAUACUACUAUAUAUGGUAGUUGAAAUUAGCUAAAACAUUAAAAUGCUAAUAUGUUGAUGCAUCAGUAUUAAUAUUCCUGCAGUAUAAUAUAAAACAAACUUCUACUGUAUAAUGAUACAUGUAUUUUGCCAAAUAACACUUUAGUAGCCUUAUUCAAGCAGGACUUUGACUUGUAACUGACGCUACAUGAUGACACUGAACAGUGAUGGUCCAGGAUGUUGGAUGCUGAAAUAUUGUCAACAAGAGAAUUAUGAUUCGUCCAUCACCGAGGGAUCUCACCCAUCUGUCCGUCUUUCUCCUGUUUACUUAGCGAUAACCGUGUUUGCCAUAACCUGCACACCACUGAUCAUAAUGCAGUAUAUGUCUCCAAUACUACAAACAAUUCAGGACCGGGUGAAUCAUUACCUCCAGCCCAUACUGUAACAUUCAAAUAAGAAAAUGUUUUGAGAGUUUCUGUGUUAUAAUAUAAAAUCCAUUUCUAUUCGUCCCAGUUCUGGCCAGUGCUGCGGCAACUCUACACCCGGAUCCUGUUGAGCGUUCCUCCUUGUGUUUGUGUCUCAGCCCUGCCCUCUGCUGACUCAUCUCUAUGGAAACAGCAUGUUCCCCUGGUGAUUUUAUCAGGGCCUUAUGGGAGGUGAAGUGCAUUAUUUUCCAGCGUCCUCAACCCCUUGAUUAAACAAUCUCCAAGGCAACUGUUGUCUUAACACUGGCAAGCACAAGGAUAUGUGUUUCUUGUCACGUUUGGUUGGGAGCCUGCCAGCAAAGCACACAUCCAACUGAACCAGUGGUGUGUUGCUGUUGUUGCAUCAGGAUACUAAUGUGUUCGAGGUUCAUGUAGGUGGCAUGUGUUUGGGCAUUUUACCCUCCUGCUGGCCGAAGAAAGCCUCCCUCUCUUCCCUCACGUCCAUGCGGAAGGUGGUGGGAAUGAACUCUUCCAUUUUCAGCCUCCUGUAAAGUACAACACAACCAGGAGAAAAGGCCGAAUGAAUGUCUGCGUGUCCUGGGCUAGUUGAGGUAGGAUUAGAAAUAUGUCACGUUCUGAAAAUCAGAACUGCUUGAGACAAAUCAGAGUUUCACUUGAUUUUAAAACGUUAAAACGUUAAAUCAUUAAGUGUCACUACACAUUGUGUUUCUACAGAUGACCCAUACCCCAGAAAGUAUCUCAGUUAUGGUCGAGUCAAUCUUAUCAUCCAUUACAGAAAUGAUUGUUUGUUUUUAAUGUUUCAACAGGUGUGCCAUUUAACUAAAAGACGUUGAUUCCAUAAGUGCAGAUUGAUUAUCAAAUCCCAGGUGUAAUAUUCACUAAUAUUCAUUGUUUGACUCAAGCAACUUCAUUUCUGCAAAUUAAUUUUCUAAAAGAAUCAAAGUCAGUUGCUGCCUCAGAAAGUAGGGGUAAAGAAACGUACUGUAUGUUUUUGCACAGAGGAAUUUUAAUAAAUGUUGUUGGCUGUUA